rnacentral:tRNA from 1 species
CAGACUAAAGCUUUGUUAAGCGUUUUAUUUACAUUAAAAAGAAUAUUUUUAUAAAUAUAGUCUGA